ACUGUCUUAGAACCUUUGUCACAAAGGACUAUCGUCGGACUCGUCAGAAGGCGAUCUCAAACGGGCUGAUUGAGAUGAGAAAGACCAGGUGGCGAGGCACAUUAACGCGUCAGAAACGAAAUCAGAAGAUGGACAGUUCAUCUUUGCCCUAAAUUUUCUCUCCAUUUCUGCUCAAAUUGGCAGUUAUGAGGACAAUAUGGUAGUACUGAAGCAGGAGUCUCAAUUUGCAAAGGCAAAUGAUUGUAGUUUCAGUCGAUUUAGUCUGCAAAUAGAACAACGAAUUCCCGUUCUAUCCAGGUGGCUGAUCUUCAACCGAUUCAAAUUUACUGCAUCACAGGGAGUUAAAC